GGAAAAUGAAGAGAAAGUGAAGUUGGGCGUGACUAAUACCCACUGAGAGAGACCUGUGCUCAAGGAAUCGGCUGGGGACUGCUGCUACCUCUGAGAAGACACAGGUUGGUUGCAGACUCUGCAGAGGGCAAGGACUUCACAACUAGCCACAAAGACUCCUUCAUCCCCAGUUGCUAUCUUGAUUGGGCCUCCCAUAAUUGCUUUGCCAAAAUACCAGAGCCUUCAAGUGCCAAACAGAAUAUGUCCAGUGGGAUCUGGGUCAGAAGAAAGCAAAAACGAGGAACCUUCAUGCCCUUCUGAUUCUCCUCUACUAAGCCCCAGUCCCUUCCCUAAGUUUGUUUAAAUGCUUCUCUUCUGGAUUAAAAUGCCAGUUAAAUUCCAUAUGCUCCAGGAUCUUUGACUGAAAAAAAAUAAAAAGAAGGAAGAAGAGCAAGAAGGAAAGAUUUGUAAACUUAAAGAAAGCAACAAAGAUUGAGAAGCCAUGUACUCAAGUAGCCACUGAGGGAUCUGCCAUUUGGACCCUCCAGAGCUGGAUUUGAUGAGCUAACUGUGAAAUACCACAAGCCCGAGAACUCUGAAUUUUGGGACUUCUACCCAGAUGGAAAAAUAACAACUAUUUUUUGUUUGUUUGUUUGUAAAAUGCCUCUUAAAUUAUAUAUUUAUUUUAUUCUAUGUAUGUUAAUUUAUUUAGUUUUUAACAAUCUAACAAUAAUAUUUCAAGUGCCUAGACUGUUACUUUUGCAAUUUCCUGGCCCUCCACCCCACAUCCCUACUAUCUGGCUCAGUGUCAUCCUCCCCUGCUGCAAAUCUGAGAUGGCUCUAUCACCCAUCUGUAGUAAUUUAUUGUCUGUCCACAUUUUUGAAGACCUUCCAUGAUCAAAGUGCCACAUGGGGAGUUCUGUAUGGUUAGGAUGUAGGGUUAACUUGGUCAGAGCCACUCUAUGAGUUGGACUGCAGUCUUGUCUAGGCGAUUUUGUCUACUGUUUGUGUUUUGAAAGCCCAAGGUGCUGAUGUCAAAGUGUAACAGAUAUCGGUGUUUCCCUGUGUCCUCUCCCUGCCAAAUCUCAGAAGAGGUUGGGCUUCCAUGCCUGCAGCUUUCCCUCACCCCAUGGCCCCAGGCCCACAGAGUGGGAACUCACCCUCCCUUGUGUCAAGACAUUUCUCUUACUCCUGCCAUUCUUCUGGUGCUACUCCAUGCAGGGGUCAGUGCAGCAGAGGACAGUCUGGAGAAGGUCUUAGCAAAGAAGAAGGUCGAGGUGGAAAAGGGAACAUUGGAGCUGACUGAUAAUUGGUAAUUGAUUACCUACCAACUGCUACAGAGAAGGUUGGAGGUAGGGAAGGCUUUUGUGUAACCCCAUCCACCUCACCAAAACUACAAAGGUAUGCUGUCAUGGUCCCUUCUGGAAGUUUCUGGUGCCAUUUCUGAACUGUUACAACCUGUAUUUCCAAACCUGGUUCAUAUUUAUACUUCGCAAUCCAAAUAAAGAUAAUCCUUACUCCACA